rnacentral:lncRNA from 1 species
ACUGAAGCUCGCGAGAGGAUCCUGGGGGCAGGCGCGUCGCGGUGGCAGUGUUUCUUGGGUGUGCGGGGCCGGGCGCCCCGUAGCCUCUGUGAGAACCCCAGGGCCUUCAAGCAUAUCAGUAAGCACACACUGCCGGUGUACUACAUGAGCAAUAACAAGUCAUGGAUGACCCAGCUUCUCUUCCAAUAUGCCCUCCUGAAUUGCUAUGCCAGUGAAAUGGAGAAGUACUGUUUGGAGAAUAACAUACCUUUCAAGAUUUUGCUUGUUGUUGAUAAUGCUCCUGUACAUCCUUUUAUUGGUGAUCUUUGUUUUAAUAUCAAACUGGUGUUUCUCCCUCUAAACAUCAACUCUUUGAUCCAACCAGUGGAUCAAGGAGUUAGAGCAGUUUUUAAGGCUCACUACCUAAAGCGGACGUUGCCCCAGGCUAUUGCUGCUAUUAUCUGAGGGAGACACUGAGAAGACACUAAUGCAAUUCUGGGAGGAUUACAGCAUCUAAGACUGCAUCAAGAACCUUGCUUAGGCUUAGGGUGAUGUCACCAAUGAGUGUAUGAAUGGCAUCUGGAAGGAGACACUCGAGGUUUGUUCAUGACUUCAGAGGAUUUGCCAUGGAUGACCAGGUUGCAAAAAUCCACAAGGCUGUGGUUGAGAUGGCAAACAGCUUUAACCUGGGUGUGAAUGAGGAUGACAUUGAGGAGCUCCUAGCGGUGGUUCCUGAGGAAUUGACUAAUGAGUUGUUGGAAAUAGAACAGGGACACAGCUGAAGAAGAGGCAAGAGAAAACAAAACUGCAGAAAACCACCAUCAAGAAAAUUUGCAGUAGGGAGUUUAGCAGAAGCUUUUGCAGACCUCAAGAAACUCCUUAAAAAGUUUGGGCCGGGCGCGGUGGCUCACUCCUGUAAUCCCAGCACUUUGGGAGGCCAUGGUGGGAAGAUCACGAGAUCAGGAGUUCAAGACCAGCCAGACCGACAUGGUGAAACUCCAUCUCUACUAAAAAUACAAAAAAAAAAAAAAAAAAGCCUGGGUGUGGUGGCACGCACCUGUAAUCCCAGCUACUAGGGAGGCUGAGGCAGGAGAAUCACUUGAACCUGGGAGGCAGAGGUUGCAGUGAGCCGAGAUCGUGCCACUGCACUCCAGCCUGGGUGACAGAGCAAGACUCAUCUCAAAAAAAAAAAAAAAAAAAAAAUUGAAAACAUGGACCCCAACACCAAAAGGUUUUCAUUAAUAGAGAGGAAUGUUCAUGGUGCAUUAUUUGUUUACUGGCAAAUCUAUGAUGAAAAAAGGAAAUACCAAGCAAACCACCAUGGACAUAUUUCUGAAAAGAGGGACACCUCCUUAAGAAGAGUCCCAGGCAGGUCCUUCAUGGGUAUUUCAGAAGAGGGCAUUGCUAUCAUAGGAGAUGACAGCUCUGUGCAUGUUACUGCCCGGGAAGACCUUCCAGUGGGACAAGAUGUGAAGGUGGAAGAUGAUGAUAUUGAUGAUUCUGACCUGUGUAUGCCUAGGCUAAUGUACUUGUGUCUUAGUUUUUAACAAAAAGUUGAAGUAAAUAAUUUAAAAGAAAAAUGCUUAUAAAAAUAAAAUAUUUUUGUAUAGCAUUACAGUGUGUGUUUUAAUCUAAGUGUUAUUACAAAAGUCAGAAAAUUUUAAAAGUUUAGUAAAAAGUUAACAUUAGGUUAACUUAUUGAAGAAAGAAAUUUUUAAGUAAAUUUAGUUUACUCUAAGUGUACAGUAUUU